rnacentral:rRNA from 1 species
UACGUAGGGUGCGAGCGUUAAUCGGAAUUACUGGGCGUAAAGCGUGCGCAGGCGGUGAUGUAAGACAGAUGUGAAAUCCCCGGGCUCAACCUGGGAACUGCAUUUGUGACUGCAUCGCUGGAGUGCGGCAGAGGGGGAUGGAAUUCCGCGUGUAGCAGUGAAAUGCGUAGAUAUGCGGAGGAACACCGAUGGCGAAGGCAAUCCCCUGGGCCUGCACUGACGCUCAUGCACGAAAGCGUGGGGAGCAACAG